UCCGCCAUAGCUCAGUUGGUAGUAGCGCAUGACUGUUAAUCAUGAUGUCGUAGGUUCUAGUCCUACUGGCGGAG
rnacentral:tRNA from 1 species